UGGGGAAUUUUGGACAAUGGGGGAAACCCUGAUCCAGCCAUCCCGCGUGUGCGAUGAAGGCCUUCGGGUUGUAAAGCACUUUUGGCAGGAAAGAAACGUCAUGGGUUAAUACCCCGUGAAACUGACGGUACCUGCAGAAUAAGCACCGGCUAACUACGUGCCAGCAGCCGCGGUAAUACGUAGGGUGCAAGCGUUAAUCGGAAUUACUGGGCGUAAAGCGUGCGCAGGCGGUUCGGAAAGAAAGAUGUGAAAUCCCAGAGCUCAACUUUGGAACUGCAUUUUUAACUACCGGGCUAGAGUGUGUCAGAGGGGGGGGGAAUUCCGCGUGUAGCAGUGAAAUGCGUAGAUAUGCGGAGGAACACCGAUGGCGAAGGCAGCCUCCUGGGAUAACACUGACGCUCAUGCACGAAAGCGUGGGGAGCAAACAGG
rnacentral:rRNA from 1 species